GGCUCAGUGAAGGAAAGGAACAAUAAAAACAAAAACAACAACAACAGAACAUUAGUAGCUUCAGCAGAAACAGUGUAAAUAAUUAUCUAACCAUAAGAACCAUAAAUAAAAUAGCAUGCAAUAAUAUCAGACAGUAACUACCAUAAGGAAGACACAAUCAAAUACACACAUCAUCUAAGGAUAGUCCUGCCAAGCCUCACCCAACCCCGGGUGAGGAGUACGAAAAACACUAGGGGCCCCUAUCCUACGUAAUAAUAUCAGACAGUAACUAUCAUAAAUAACUGCCAUAAGGCAGACACAAUCCAAUAAACAAAUCAACUAUGGAUAGCCUGCCAAGCCUCACCCAACCCCGGGUGAGGAGUACGAAAAACUCUAGGGGCCNNAACAAAAACAAAAACAACAAAAGAGCAUUAGUACCUUCAACAUAAAUAACGUAAAUAAUUAUCUAAACAUAUAAACCUAAAAAUAAAAAACAUAAAAACUAUAAAUAAAAUAGCAUGCGAUAAUAUCAGACAGUAACUAGCAUAAGACAAAAUCCAAUACACAAAUCAUCUAUGAAUAGCCCUGCCAAGCCUCACCCAGCCCCGGGUGAGGAGUAUGAAAAACUCUAGGGGCCCCUAUCCCACAAUCCUGAUACUAGACCUCCAGACUUUCCUAUCAAAGGCCAUGUCCUCAGAAACCCGCAUUCUAGCCAUGUCAUGCCUAAUCACCUCUACCCAAUACCGCUUAGGCCUCCCUCUGCCUCGCCGUGCGCCGAUUAUCGCCAGUCGCUCACAACUCCUCACCGGGGCAUCAGGACUUCUCCUCUGUACAUGCCCGAACCGAUCUCCGCAACCUUCAUCCUCUGAACAUGAGAGGUCUUCACUGGCCAGCACUCCGCCCCAUGCAACAUGGCCGGUCUAACCACAGCUCUAUAAGAUUUCCCCUUGAGUUUCUGUGGAACUUUCUUGUCGCACAAGACUCCUGAUGCAAGCCUUCACUUUGACCACCCCGCUCCUAUACGAUGAGUGACGUCCCCGUCAAUCUCUCCAUCCCUCUGAAUCACCGACCCAAGGUAACGGACGCAGUCCUUCUUGGCGAUGGCCUGAGAGCCAAUCAUCACGUCCCUCCCUACUUCACUCGGAUCGGCNN
rnacentral:lncRNA from 1 species